GACACCACUCGCCCGCCUCUCCUUUUCUCCUACCCGGGGGAAAGGAUGGCGAGCGGACUCUGCGUGUUCCGGAGCUUUCGACGCCCUCCUCGGGGGGUGUCGGGAAAACGCUCCGAGUGCACCGAAUCUCGUGAACGAAACCUCUCUUCUGCCUGUGGCCUUUUGGUUGCGCAGAGUUGUUGACGGCGCUCGUGCCCUUUUUGGGUUCGGCGACUCUCGGCUCGAUAAACGCGCGCCGAAGCGCUCCUGUUGCGGAGGGGUUGUUGUUUUCCGGUGGGYGGUCCUAGCGGCCGCUCCUCCGCGUUUUACUACUUUCGUUCGGACCUCCGAUCAAGCAAGAGG
rnacentral:rRNA from 1 species